AUUGAACGCUGGCGGCAGGCCUAACACAUGCAAGUCGAACGAGUGGCGGACGGGUGAGUAAUGUCUGGGAAACUGCCCGAUGGAGGGGGAUAACUACUGGAAACGGUAGCUAAUACCGCAUACCAUCGGAUGUGCCCAGAUGGGAUUAGCUAGUGGGGGGGGUAACGGCUCACCUGGGCGACGAUCCCUAGCUGGUCUGAGAGGAUGACCAGCCACACUGGAACUGAGACACGUACCAGACGCCUACGGGAGGCAGCAGUGGGGAAUAUUGGACAAUGGGCGCAAGCCUGACGCAGCCAUGCAGCGUGUAUGAAGAAGGCCUUCGGGUUGUAAAGUACUUUCAGCGAGUAGGCGUUACUCGCAGAAGAAGCACCGGCUAACUCCGUGCCAGCCGCCGCGGUAAUUC
rnacentral:rRNA from 1 species